GGGGAGGUAGCGAAGAGGCUAAACGCGACGGACUGUAAAUCCGUUCCUUAGGGUUCAGUGGUUCGAAUCCACUUCUCCCCACCA
rnacentral:tRNA from 1 species